rnacentral:rRNA from 1 species
GACGAACGCUGGCGGCGUGCUUAACACAUGCAAGUCGAGCGAGAAAGCUCCUUCGGGAGUGAGUACAGCGGCGAACGGGUGAGUAACACGUGGGCAACCUGCCCUAGGGAGCGGGACAACCCGAGGAAACUCGGGCUAAUACCGCAUGAUUCGUCAUGUCUCAAGGCAUGACGGGAAAUGGUAGCUUCGGCCUCCGCCCUAGGAUGGGCCCGCGGCGCAUUAGCUUGNGGUGUGGGUAACGGCUCACCAAGGCGACGAUGCGUAGCUGGUCUGAGAGGACGAUCAGCCACACUGGGACUGAGACACGGCCCAGACUCCUACGGGAGGCAGCAGUGGGAAUCUUGCGCAAUGGGCGGAAGCCUGACGCAGCAACGCCGCGUGAGGGAAGACGGCCU